CUACAGCUCGCUAACCUUUUCAGUGACUUUCAUCUUUCAUCGUUGAUUUCUUAGGCAAUUGAGGCUUUGUUUGUAUCUGUCCCUUCUGUGUUGUUCCAGCCUCAGAACAUCAGUUUAUCUCCUGCUACGGUUAUGGUGAGCUAGAAGGACCACUGAUCUCGAUUGUAAAAGGCUGGAUCGCGGAUAGGGAGCGCGAGCGUGAAGAAACCGGCCGCCAUCUUACGGUGCCCACAACAGUCGCCCAGUCGCCGCAGCGAUCAUGGCAACUUCUUGCAAUUACGGUCGUACCAACCGUACUGGCAAGGUUACAGGGCCUAAAUUUAUACAGGUUUCGUCAUGAGAGCUACCCAGUGAAUAAUCUGUGUAGUGUGAUACGGCUGGGUGUACAGGUAAGUAUCACGUUCCUCAUUCACUGGUUUCUACUUUACAGGAAGGAACAACCUCAGUGCACGCACUGUGGUUAGCCUCUCUCAGUUUUGCAUAUUUUCUUACCUGUUCACAUCAGAAACACACCUUACACUUUAGGCUCCUUCACCCAGCAAUAUAAUAAUUAGAGAUUAUAAUUCUUUUGAGAAGAGUUCCCCAUAUUAUUUUUAGAAUAGUUUCUCAUCUUUUUAAUUUUUAGAAGAUACAGGGAUUGUAAACCAUGUUUUAAACUGAUGUUUUAACAUUUGUCCAAUGCAUUUAUUAAACAACAUACUCAUUUUUAACUGGUUGCACCCAAACCAAUGUUCUGAUGUAUUAUUUCCUUUGUUGUCGAUGCACCAUAAAAAUUGGAAUAAUCAUCAUCAAUGCAGGUUACUUCACUCAAGAAAUGGGUGCAGAACCUGCGUAAUGCCCACAAAUUUUGAUUACCACAGCACCUCCAGAAAGUAUGUGUCACAUGGGAUUUUUAAAUGUAUUCACAGUAUAUAAUACCUUGUAUUAACUGUUGUAGAUCUAAGCCGUCUCUACAGUACACUCUCAGAAAUUAAACCGUGAGAACCGUGAUAAUUGUUUCAGUUAAUAGGCACGCACAUAUAUGCUAUAAGAAGAAAAUUAUUUCUUGAGAAUGCACUUCUCUGGCUACUGGUGUUGUUUACAUCUACUGUUGAUCACAUUCAUUUAUCACAUAUUAUAUUCUUAUAUAUAAUAUUAUAUUAACACAUAUUUGAUCACAUUAAAUUCAAAAUUCAUCAUAUAUAAGAAAAUACCAGGAGGGAAGUUGCUAUUCAUUGCUCAUUCUUACCUAAAAUUGAGUGCUACAAAUUUAGAGAGAGUACCUGUCCAUUGACAUUCCUAAAAUAUAUAUUGUCAUUGUAGCAAGGUCAUAAAACAAUAAAUGUAGUCUUUUGUGACCUUCCUGCACGUUCAUUGUAUCCUGAAACGCAUAAGUGCAAGAAAUAACUUGAAUAAACUUGAUGUUGUAUAAACUUGAUAUAAAAUGCUGAAUAAUAUAAUGUAUGAUAUAAAAUGUUGAAUAAACUUGAACUUGUAUAUUCUCUUUA